UCAAAAACAUGUCCUUUUGUAUUAUAUAUAAGGUCUAACCUGCCCCAUGAUUUUAUUUAAUGGCCGCGGUAUAUUAACUGUGCUAAGGUAGCAUAAUCAUUUGUCUUUUAAUUGAAGGCUAGUAUGAAUGGUUGGACGAGGCACAUGCUUUCUUUAAUUUAAUUAAUGAACUUAAUUUUUAAGUUAAAAAGCUUAAAUAGGUUUGAGGGACGAGAAGACCCUAUAGAUCUUUAUAUUUAAAAUUAUUAUUUAUUUUAGGGAGUAAAUUGUUUUAAUAAUUUUAUUUAUUUGGUUGGGGUGACUGUAGAAUAAAUAUAACUUCUAUUUUAAAUUUUCAUUAAUGAGUGUUUUAUUUGAUCCAAAUUUUUUGAUUAAAAGAUUAAGUUACCUUAGGGAUAACAGCGUAAUUCUUUUGGAGAGUUCAUAUCGAUAAUGGAGUUUGCGACCUCGAUGUUGGAUUAAAAUAAGUUUUAGGUGUAGAAGCUUAAAAACUAGGUCUGUUCGACCUUUAAUUUUUUACAUGAUCUGAGU
rnacentral:rRNA from 1 species